rnacentral:rRNA from 1 species
AUUGAACGCUGGCGGAAUGCUUUACACAUGCAAGUCGAACGGCAGCACGGGUGCUUGCACCUGGUGGCGAGUGGCGAACGGGUGAGUAAUACAUCGGAACGUACCCAGUUGUGGGGGAUAACGAGUCGAAAGAUUCGCUAAUACCGCAUACGACCUGAGGGUGAAAGCGGGGGACCGUAAGGCCUCGCGCAAUUGGAGCGGCCGAUGUCUGAUUAGCUAGUUGGUGAGGUAAAGGCUCACCAAGGCGACGAUCAGUAGCUGGUCUGAGAGGAUGAUCAGCCACACUGGAACUGAGACACGGUCCAGACUCCUACGGGAGGCAGCAGUGGGGAAUUUUGGACAAUGGGGGAAACCCUGAUCCAGCCAUUCCGCGUGAGUGAAGAAGGCCUUCGGGUUGUAAAGCUCUUUCGGCAGGGAAGAAACGCUCUGGCAUAAUACGCCGGGGUAAUGACGGUACCUGAAGAAGAAGCACCGGCUAACUACGUGCCAGCCGCCGCCGUAA